rnacentral:rRNA from 1 species
CCUACGGGGGGCUGCAGUGGGGAAUAUUGGACAAUGGGGGCAACCCUGAUCCAGCCAUGCCGCGUGUGUGAAGAAGGCCCUCGGGUUGUAAAGCACUUUCAGUGAGGAAGAACGCCUGGUGGUUAAUACCCAUCAGGAAAGACAUCACUCACAGAAGAAGCACCGGCUAACUCCGUGCCAGCAGCCGCGGUAAUACGGAGGGUGCGAGCGUUAAUCGGAAUUACUGGGCGUAAAGCGCGCGUAGGUGGCUUGAUAAGCCGGUUGUGAAAGCCCCGGGCGCAACCUGGGAACGGCAUCCGGAACUGUCAAGCUAGAGUGCAGGAGAGGAAGGUAGAAUUCCCGGUGUAGCGGUGAAAUGCGUAGAGAUCGGGAGGAAUACCAGUGGCGAAGGCGGCCUUCUGGACUGACACUGACGCUGAGGUGCGAAAGCGUGGGUAGCAAACAGGAUUAGAUACCCCUGUAGUC